CCCCUAGAUGUUCUGGGCCGCACGCGCGCUACACUGAACAGUUCAACAAGUCUUAACCUUGGCCGAUAGGUCUGGGUAAUCUUUGAACGCUGUUCGUGAUUGGGAUAGACCUUUGCAAUUAUGGGUCUUCAACGAGGAAUUCCUAGUAAACGCAAGUCAUCAGCUUGCAUUGAUUACGUCCCUGCCCUUUGUACACACCGCCCGUCGCACCUACCGAUUGAAUGGUCCGGUGAAAUCUCGGGACGGCGGCUUGGUCGCUUGCGUCCGACUGCUGAAACUUGAUGAAACCAUAUCAUUUAGAGGAAGGUGAAGUCGUAACA
rnacentral:rRNA from 1 species